rnacentral:rRNA from 1 species
GACGUAGGGCGCGAGCGUUGUCCGGAUUUAUUGGGCGUAAAGAGCUCGUAGGCGGUUUGUUGCGUCGGCUGUGAAAUCCCGAGGCUCAACCUCGGGUCUGCAGUCGAUACGAGCAAACUAGAGUGUUGCAGGGGAGACUGGAAUUCCUGGUGUAGCGGUGAAAUGCGCAGAUAUCAGGAGGAACACCGGUGGCGAAGGCGGAUCUCUGGGCCAUUACUGACGCUGAGGAGCGAAAGCGUGGGGAGCGAACAGG